GGGGCUGUAACUCAGCUGGCUAGAGUGCGUCCAUGGCAUGGACGAAGUCAGGGGUUCGAAUCCCCUCAGCUCCACCA
rnacentral:tRNA from 1 species